CCCGGAUCAGUGGCGAACGGGUGAGUAACACGUGGGCAACCUGCCCCUGACUUCGGGAUAACGCUUCGAAAGAGGUGCUAAUACCGAAUAUGAACGCGAAGGACAUCCUUUGCGUUGGAAAGUUUUUCGGUCAGGGAUGGGCCCGCGGCCUAUCAGCUAGUUGGUGAGGUAACGGCUCACCAAGGCGACGACGGGUAGCCGGCCUGAGAGGGCGACCGGCCACACUGGGACUGAGACACGGCCCAGACUCC
rnacentral:rRNA from 1 species